rnacentral:rRNA from 1 species
UGGGGAAUAUUGGACAAUGGGCGCAAGCCUGAUCCAGCCAUGCCGCGUGAGUGAUGAAGGCCCUAGGGUUGUAAAGCUCUUUUACCGGUGAAGAUAAUGACGGUAACUGGAGAAGAAGCUCCGGCUAACUCCGUGCCAGCAGCCGCGGUAAUACGAAGGGGGCUAGCGUUGUUCGGAAUAACUGGGCGUAAAGCGCACGUAGGCGGGUAUUUAAGUCAGGGGUGAAAUCCCAGAGCUCAACUCUGGAACUGCCUUUGAUACUGGGUACCUAGAGUAUGGGAGAGGUGAGUGGAAUUCCGAGUGUAGAGGUGAAAUUCGUAGAUAUAGGGAAGAACACCAGUGGCGAAGGCGACUACCUGGACAGAUACUGACGCUGAGGUGCGAAAGCGUGGGGAGCAAACA